UAGGGAAUAUUGGACAAUGGGGGCAACCCUGAUCCAGCCAUGCCGCGUGAGUGAAGAAGGCCCUCGGGUUGUAAAGCUCUUUUGUCCGGAAAGAAAAGCAUUCGGUGAAUACCCGGAUGUUCUGACGGUACAGGAAGAAUAAGCACCGGCUAACUUCGUGCCAGCAGCCGCGGUAAUACGAAGGGUGCAAGCGUUACUCGGAAUUACUGGGCGUAAAGCGUGCGUAGGUGGUUGUUUAAGUCUGAUGUGAAAGCCCUGGGCUCAACCUGGGAAUGGCAUUGGAAACUGGGCAGCUAGAGUGCGGUAGAGGGUAGUGGAAUUCCCGGUGUAGCCGUGAAAUGCGUAGAGAUCGGGAAGAACAUCUGUGGCGAAGGCGACUGCCUGGACCAGCACUGACACUGAGGCACGAAAGCGUGGGGAGCAAACA
rnacentral:rRNA from 1 species